rnacentral:lncRNA from 1 species
CACAGUAAAAGGGUAAAGUAAAUAUAUAAAAGGUAACCCUAAGAUGAUCUUAUCAGUAAAAUUGCGAAUUAAAAUAAAUGAUGUUUUAAAACACAUAUUAUCUUGACAGAUAUGAACUUUAGGCAGUUUAUAUUUUAUUUCCAUUUGACUACCAUUGGCUGAGUUUAAUUUUUCAUUAGUUUUCUUAUAAUAUUUAGUUGGGAUUAGACCUUCUUGAAUACAAUUAAGAUCUGCGCCAGUAUCUACCAGAGCAGGAAGUUGUAUAGAAAAGGUUUUAUCAACAACUAAGUUAAUGGAGAUAUACCAUUUUUGAAUGGUGAUAUCAUUAAUUCUUUUAAGUGUAAGACCUUGAACAAAAAGAUCUGGUUCUUCUUUUGUUCCUGAUGAUUCAGGCUCAUCG